UUAUUAUUAAAAAUUAGCAAGCAAAUGUACAUUUAUUUUCCAUGACUAAUAUAUUAAGCACAAUUCUUAUAGUACAGACUACAAACCAAUA